AUUGAACGCUGGCGGCAGGCCUAACACAUGCAAGUCGAGCGAGCGGCGGACGGGCGAGUAAUGUAUGGGGAUCUGCCUGAUGGAGGGGGAUACCUACUGGAAACGGUAGCUAAUACCGCAUACCAUCAGAUGAACCCAUGUGGUAUUCUCUUGUAGGUGAGGUAACGGCUUACCUAGGCGACGAACCCUAGCUGGUCUGAGAGGAUGAUGCGCCACACGGGGACUGAGACACGGCCCAGACUCCUACGGGAGGCAGCAGUGGGGAAUAUUGCACAAUGGGCGCAAGCCUGAUGCAGCCAUGCCGCGUGUAUGAAGAAGGCCUUCGGGUUGUAAAGUACUUUCAGUCGGGAGGCGUUACCGACAGAAGAAGCACCGGCUAACUCCGUGCCAGCAGCCGCGGUAAUUC
rnacentral:rRNA from 1 species